rnacentral:rRNA from 1 species
AGCUUCUUGAAGAAUCAAAAGAAGUGGAGCCUGCCCGGUGUAAUUCCAUUUAAAUUAUAAACGGCCGCGAAAGUGCUAAGGUAGCAUAAUAAUUUGUCUUUUCAUUGGAGGCUAGUAUGAAAGGCAUAACGAAGCUCAACUGUCUCUCCAUGUUUAAAAAUAAAAAUUAGUUUAAAAGUGAAAAACCUUUUAUUUUUAUGAAGGACGAGAAGACCCUAUAGAGUUUUAGUAAAAUCGGGAGUAUUACCCAACAACAUACUUACGAUCUACUUUUAUUGGGGCAAUAAAGGAAGAAAGAAAAAAUCUCUUAUCUUUUAAAGAAUAAUAUAACCUCCAAGAGAAUAAAAUAAAACUACCUUAGGGAUAACAGCGUAAUCUUACCAAAGAGCUCUAAUCGAAGGUAAGGAUUACGACCUCGAUGUUGGACUAAGGGAAACAUUUAUAUGCAGAAGUAUAAAGAGUAAGCCUGUUCGGCUUUUAAAACCUUACAUG